UGUGUUCAGAGUCAGAGAGCCGUGUCUCUCUACAGUCAGAGGUUUUUGUACGACGAUUCAAUCGGUUUGUAUCACUGUGGUACACGUUUGGUGGAGGAACCAGACUGGAUGUUGGAAGUGACACCCGUCCCACCCUGACAGUGCUGCCCCCCUCCAGUGAGGAGCUGCAGCAGGGGAAGGCCACCCUCAUGUGUUUGGCCAACAAGGGCUUCCCCUCCGGCUGGAGUCUGUCCUGGAAGGUGGACGGCAGCAGCAGCAGCAGCUGGGAGCAGAGCAGGAGCCCCGGGGUUCUGCAGAAGGACGGCCUCUACAGCUGGAGCAGCACCCUGAGGCUCCCUGCAGACCAGUGGAGGAAGGUGGGCUCUGUGACCUGUGAGGCCACCCAGGGCUCCCAGUCUGCAGUCACAGAGACACUGAGGAGAGACCAGUGUUCCCAGUCCUGACCUGAUUCACUCAGACAAUGAUAAUGGAUUGAAUCUGUCACUGCUCUCAUUCUUUCUCUUCUGAUUAUUUUCUACUUUCAAUGAAUCAUGUUUUCCUUGUCACUGUGUUCACUAUUCAAAAUAAAAUCACAAACUAAUGAA